rnacentral:rRNA from 1 species
GACGAACGCUGGCGGCGUGCUUAACACAUGCAAGUCGAACGGAAAGGCCCCCACCUUGGUGGGGGUGCUCGAGUGGCGAACGGGUGAGUAACACGUGGGUGAUCUGCCCUGUACUUCGGGAUAAGCUUGGGAAACUGGGUCUAAUACCGGAUAGGACCAUGGUUUAGUGUCUCAUGGUGGAAAAAUUAUUGUUUUGGUGCAGGAUGAGCUCGCGGCCUAUCAGCUUGUUGGUGGGGUAAUGGCCUACCAAGGCGUCGACGGGUAGCCGGCCUGAGAGGGUGGACGGCCACAUUGGGACUGAGAUACGGCCCAGACUCCUACGGGAGGCAGCAGUGGGGAAUAUUGCACAAUGGGCGCAAGCCUGAUGCAGCGACGCCGCGUGGGGGAUGACGGCCUUCGGGUUGUAAACUCCUUUCGUUAGGGACGAAGCCACACCUUUUUGGGGUGUGGUGACGGUACCUUUGUGAAGAAGCACCGGCUAACUACGUG